GACGAACGCUGGCGGCGUGCUUAACACAUGCAAGUCGUACGGUAAGGCCCUUUCGGGGGUACACGGGUGGCGCACGGGUGAGUAACACGUGAGUAACCUGCCCACAACUUUGGGAUAACGCUAGGAAACUGGUGCUAAUACUGGAUAUGUGCUCCUGCUGCAUGGUGGGGGUUGGAAAGCUCCGGCGGUUGUGGAUGGACUCGCGGCCUAUCAGCUUGUUGGUGGGGUAGUGGCCUACCAAGGCGGCGACGGGUAGCCGGCCUGAGAGGGUGACCGGCCACAUUGGGACUGAGAUACGGCCCAGACGCCUACGGGAGGCAGCAGUGGGGAAUAUUGCACAAUGGGCGCAAGCCGGAUGCAGCAACGCCGCGUGCGGGAUGACGGCCUUCGGGUUGUAAACCGCUUUCAGCAGGGACGAAGCUUUUUGUGACGGUACCUGCAGAAGAAGCACCGGCUAACUACG
rnacentral:rRNA from 1 species